UAGUGGUUAGAGUGUAGAGGAGGUAGGUAGUCUAGUGGUUAGAGUGUAGAGGAGGUAGGUAGCCUAGUGGUUAGAGUGUAGAGGAGGCAGGUAGCCUAGUGGUUAGAGUGUAGAGGAGGUAGGAGGUAGGUAGCCUAGUGGUUAGAGUGUAGAGGAGGUAGGUAGCCUAGUGGUUAGAGUGUAGAGGAGGCAGGUAGCCUUGUGGUUAGAGUGUAGAGGAGGUAGGUAGCCUAGUGGUUAGAGUGUAGAGGAGGCAGGUAGACUAGUGGUUAGAGUGUAGAGGAGGUAGGUA